GACUUCCAGAACAAGAGCUCCGUAGUUCUGGCUGUGCAGACAAAAAUUACGCACUCUAUCUUUCCUACCAAUUCGAGAUUCCAGCGGCGAGGCGCUUCAAUGGCCAGCUAGUAACUUCGCUAUUUCGCGACAAUUGAUUUCAAUAUUCGAGGUACAACCCGAGGUGGUUCGUGGUCGUCGUUGGCGG
rnacentral:lncRNA from 1 species